rnacentral:rRNA from 1 species
AGGGAAUCUUCCACAAUGGACGCAAGUCUGAUGGAGCAACGCCGCGUGAGUGAAGAAGGUUUUCGGAUCGUAAAGCUCUGUUGUUGGUGAAGAAGGAUAGAGGUAGUAACUGGCCUUUAUUUGACGGUAAUCAACCAGAAAGUCACGGCUAACUAC